rnacentral:lncRNA from 1 species
GGGACAAUAGCAUUUUGUCAGGCUCAAGCCCAGCCUUCGGGUUGCCUUAAUUCCUAGGCCCAAGCCUGCUCCAUAAUGGGCUUCAGGCUUUCAAGCCGAGUCUUGGGCUUCCUUGGUUUAGGAGAAGGUAGGGAUGUGAUGAGGCAGUGAGGAGGUAGCCGAACUCAAGAGUUGAGAGGUGGGGACAACACAAAGAAGAAGCAUGGAGAUCGGGAUGAUACGAGGAGAAGGUGAAGAGGACGGGAUGAUGCGAGAAGGACAGAGAGAGGAUGGGAUGAUGUGAGGAGGAGGCAAGGAAGGAGGCGAGCAAGCAAAGAGUUACGGCGAGAAGGCGACAAUGGG